GUAGAAGAUCCAGAGCUGAUGGGGGCCAUGUCAGCAGAAGAAGCAGGAGAAGCUGUAGGCUUGAAGAGAUCACCCAAGAAGGGUGAGAUGGGAACAAAAGAAGAAAACAAAGCAGAGUGUGUGUCAAAGCCAGAGGAGCUCUGCUGAUUUCAAGAGAUAAACCUGAAGAUUCCAAUUGUGACCCCAGCCUUGAAGCAAGUGGGAGAAUGAGAGAGGCACUGCAUGCCUGGGGAGGAAGCAGCAACAUACCUCUCAAAAACCCAGCUGUAGGAGAUCAUGUAGUUCAUAACUGGAGGAUGGUAUAUGGUUUCUGGCUGCUCCCAGGUUACCAGCAAUGCCGUUCUAUUC